rnacentral:rRNA from 1 species
GACGAACGCUGGCGGCGUGCUUAACACAUGCAAGUCGAACGGAAAGGCCCUGCUUUUGUGGGGUGCUCGAGUGGCGAACGGGUGAGUAACACGUGAGUAACCUGCCCUUGACUUUGGGAUAACUUCAGGAAACUGGGGCUAAUACCGGAUAGGAGCUCCUGCUGCAUGGUGGGGGUUGGAAAGUUUCGGCGGUUGGGGAUGGACUCGCGGCUUAUCAGCUUGUUGGUGGGGUAGUGGCUUACCAAGGCUUUGACGGGUAGCCGGCCUGAGAGGGUGACCGGCCACAUUGGGACUGGGAUACGGCCCAGACGCCUACGGGAGGCAGCAGUGGGGAAUAUUGCACAAUGGGCGGAAGCCUGAAGCAGCAACGCCGCGUGCGGGAUGACGGCCUUCGGGUUGGAAACCGCUUGCGCCUGUGACGAAGCGUGAGUGACGGUAAUGGGGAAAGAAGCACCGGCUAACUACGU